CCAUUCGCAUAUUUUUCUUUUACGCUCUCAAAUCUCCCACAAACAACCGUGUUCCGCCGCCACGUGUACCGCCGGUAAGUUUUUCUCGGAUGAAUUACUACUGUACCGGUAGAACCUUCUAGGUUUUCCUUUCCUAUAUAUAUCAUAUAUAAUAUAUAAUUGUUAUUAUAUUAUAUAUAUUAUAUAUAUAUUCGAUUCCAUUUCUAGGGUUUCAUUAUAGGAAAUUGAUAACGCAAUUGAUUCAAUUAGUAAUUGAAUCGUAUAUUGAGUUGUUGAAUCUAGGUGUUAUUGAUUUCCGAUCUGUGCUUGUUGACCUAGACUUAGGUUUAAUUGAAAAGGAAUAUUUUUUUGCUAGGGUUAGGGUUUAUUGAGGUGAUUUAGGUAUAGUUUGAUUGUUAUAUACAUAAAUAUAUAUAUGAAUAAGUAUAUGGCGGCAGGAAGACAUGGAGGAUACCGUGAUAAUGAAUUUAGAGAGGGCGAUAAUGAUGUAAAAGGAGAGUAUGAUCGGUUACGGAAUGGUAGUAAUUAUGAGAGGGGUAAGAAUCGGGUUAGGGAUAGUAGAGGUGGAGGCAGGGGUAGGCAGAAGGAUGUUAAAGAAAGAGAAAUGGUGAACGGUGGGGGUCGGGGUUAUCGGUCGGUGUCUGGUUUGGGAAGGAAUGGGGAUGGUGGAGGUUUGAGACGUGGUGAUGAUCAGCUUAGGUUUGCGGAUCGAGAGCCUGGUGAGUUGUCUAGCGAGAGUGGGUCGGAUGAAGGUGUUGAGUUGGAAGUAAAUGGUAAGAAUGACACAGCUUAUAAAAUGGACAGCAGUUCUGAGUCGUCUUUGUUUAGCAAAAAGAGGAAGUUUUCACCUAUUGUUUGGGAUAGAGAUGAUAAGGAAGGUGGUAAUUUGACGAUGCCUAGAUCUUCACCUGCUCUACCUCCUCCACCUCCAUUGCCUAAAUCUUACCGCGGAUUACCUAAUGUUGUUCCUGCAGUGGCUGUACAGAAUUUGCUGGUAGAGAGUAACGAGUUUCAGAGUGCACAUCAGUCUCCAGGUAAUAGUCCAAUUGAUAUUUGGAAGCAUGAUUCUUCUGGAUUUGAACCCCAUGUUAGUCUGUCUUCUUCACCUAUUGAAGAAGAGCUUCUAGGUUUAUCUUCUUCUCCUGUCCAGGGAGAACAUGCAGGACAACCAGAAGAUGAGGAUUACGUGCCUGCACGGACAAUAAGAUCCUCUCGGUGGGCAGAUGCAAAUUCUCCAGCCGAUGAAGGUGAAAUUUCUGAUGCAUCUGGUGAUAAUAGGGUUCAGCAGAGGAAUGAAUCUUUACGUGGAUCUGUUGAAGUUAGAUGGCGAAAGCAGUCAUCAAGUCCAGAGGCAGGGGAUCAUCAUAGAGAAGUCUCUGAAGUAAAUAGAGGACGAUCUUCCGAGUCCGAUGAAGAUGGCUAUCGUGUUAGGUCUUCCAGUAUGAGUGAUUUUCCUGACAAUGAUUUGGGAAGGAAGGACCACAUGGAGAUAGACGACGAGAACAAAAAAGAUGGUACUAGUCUGAGCCAAUCAGAAUCUGACUCAGAGAAUAAAGACGACUCUCCAGGCACUCCAGAGCCUGCCCCCACUUCUCAAAGAAGUGUGAAUAUGCUUCACGGUUGCAGAAGUGUUGAUGAGUUUGAGAGGUUGAACAAGAUAGAUGAAGGCACUUAUGGUGUUGUUUACAGGGCCAAAGAUAAAAAAACAGGGGAAGUAGUUGCUUUAAAAAAGGUCAAGAUGGAGAAAGAAAGAGAAGGGUUUCCUUUGACUGCUCUGAGGGAAAUUAAUAUUCUUCUCUCGUUUCAUCAUUCGUCAAUUGUGGAUGUGAAGGAAGUGGUUGUUGGGAGCAAUCUUGACAGCAUUUUUAUGGUAAUGGAAUACAUGGAACAUGAUCUUAAGGCAUUGAUGGAGACAAUGAAACACCCUUUUAGUCAAAGUGAAGUUAAAUGCCUCAUGCUCCAGCUAUUCGAGGGAACAAAAUACCUCCAUGACAAUUGGGUUCUUCACCGGGAUCUAAAGACUUCAAAUUUACUAUUAAAUAAUCGAGGUGAGUUAAAGAUCUGUGAUUUUGGAUUAGCUCGUCAAUAUGGGAGCCCUCUAAAACCAUACACUCAUUUGGUGGUGACUCUUUGGUACAGGGCGCCAGAACUUCUGCUAGGGACAAAAUUAUAUUCUACUGCGAUUGACAUGUGGUCAUUGGGUUGUAUCAUGGCUGAACUUUUAUCAAAGCAACCAUUAUUUAAUGGGAAAACGGAGGUUGACCAGCUUGACAAGAUAUUCAAAACACUUGGCACACCGAAUGAAGCUAUAUGGCCUGGGUACUCCAAACUUCCUGGAGUCAAGGUGAACUUCGUCAAGCAUCAGUAUAAUUUGUUGCGGAGAAAAUUCCCAGCAACAUCUUUCACCGGAUCACCUGUUUUAUCUGAUGCUGGGUUUGAUCUGCUGAAUAAACUUCUAACUUAUGACCCUGAGAAGCGCAUAACAGCUGAAGCAGCUCUUAACCAUGAGUGGUUUCGUGAAGUUCCUCUUCCCAAGUCUAAAGAUUUUAUGCCCACUUUUCCUGCUCAGCAUGCUCAGGACAGGCGCACACGGAGGGUAAUGAAAAGUCCAGAUCCUUUAGAGGAGCAACGUCUGAAGGAGUUGCGGCAAGCUGAAUAUGGGACAGGCGGUUUAUUUGGUUAGGGUAAAGGGUGUGAUGAAGUCUUGACUCUUGAUAUUAAAAGUCUUGUUUUUUAUGAUGUACUUACUGAUUGACGUUGUUGAGGUGAGAGUCUGUACUGCAUGGAAUCGUCAACAUCAGUUGGAAAAGAUCAUCCAUGCUGUUUUUUAGCAGGCACCGGUCAUCAUCUGGGUUGGGAGUUGAUUUGCUUCCCCUUUCAACUCUAUUCAUAGCAGAGGUGGUUGGUGUAGCAUGGAGGUGGCAUUCUUAGCUUUUCAAUGACUGGACAAUUUUCAAGAAAUUGUGAAAUUUCAAGUACGAAAGCCAGCAGGUUGUGGAGGGUCACCCUGUGCAGCUUGGAACUUAAAUUUUUUUCAUGUAUUUUCCCAUUCUUCAGGUCAAACAGGUAAAAUCAAAACGAUUUGCUCAAUGGAAAUGGCUCAAUUGCCUACAUAGUGUAUUCUUAAUGCACAGAAAAUUCUAAUUUCUAAUCAAAAAUCAGGUUAUCCUUGGAAAAUCUAACUAUAUUAUCAGUAAUGUAUUAUAGUAUUUGUCACCUUAAUCAUUUGUAAAUUUCUUUAUUGGAAUAAAUUGUGUCUCUAGUCUAGUCAAUUUUAGCUUAUGUCAAACAAGCUUCAUUUUUGACAUUUUACCCAACCCACUCUUUUUGCCACCUCAUUUGGGUUUAAUUAGGGGAAGAUCAAUGAGGUGGUAAACACAAAGCCCCCCAUAGUAACAUGCAAAAACUGUAAGUUUGUAUAUAAGCUUAUGAGCUGUGCUUUGUGCUAGUUGGUCUGAAUCGGUAGUAACAAAGGAGUUUAAUUUGUAAUGAAAAAUGGGUAGUUUCAGCACACUUAACAAGGUUGACAAUGGUUAUAGUUUAUCACCAACACAGGUCAAUUGGGUUGGAAGUUGUCCAAUUUGUACUUUAAGCCUCCUAAAUCUUUUUAUAUCGAUGGUUCAAUUAGUAUUGCAGUGAUAUAAUUUAUAGUCUCAUACGUGACACAUUAAUUGUUAAUAAAAGUUGGACAAGAAUGUUGGCGGGUUGAUUUAACAAGUGAUUUUGACAUGUAUUUGAUAUCAGGGUAUCUGCCUAUUUGGUUAAUAACAUGCAUCUUGUUUUUCAUUGUGGUAUAUAUGUUACUGAUAUCACUUGAUGUUAUUAAUAUGCUGUUUUUGGGUGUUGGUUUGCGUGUUCUAGACCAAAAAUUUCCAUAGAUGGAUUUACUAUUCAUCAUAAAAUAUAGAAUUAGACUGUUUGGUGUAUCACUAAUCUGACAGAUAAAAGACAAUUAUGCUGUUGGAUAUUAAUAAUUUUAGGAAUGCAUAAUUAGACAGAACUUCAUGACGUACUCUUUAACACAACACCGCUUGGGCAAUUCUAGAGGGUUUAGGAGCUGGGCCUGAUGCAUGUUACUUAACCGGCUAACCCUGAAGAAGCACGGCCUUUAACCCUGGUAAUGAAUCGGAGCUUAUGAUCAUAGUUAACUGCACCAUUGGUUGAGCUUGUCUAUGAAGACCACUUAUCAUUUUCAUGAGUCUUGAAUCAAGCCACCAUUAAUUCUUCGUUUUGAUAUCAUGUUCGCCCUUUUGAGUCUCAUCAUCACGCCCCUCUUUUCAAAAUUGAAAAAUAUAUCACCCGCUGUGUAUUUGCAAGUGGUUUUUGGUGUUUAAAUCUCUUUGUAAUUGUGAUAACAUUGAAUGCACACAAUCGUUUGAGUUGGGGAGUGUAAGUUUAGAUGCAUAACCUUAUUAUUUUCUUUGUUAUACAUGUAUAAAGAAAUUCAUUAAAUAUUUGUAUAUAUAUAUACUAGUCCAAUACCCGUACGAUGUA